rnacentral:rRNA from 1 species
GUAAAGCACGUUUCAGUACGGGAGGAAGGUAGUGUAGUUAACACCUGCAUUAUUUGACGUUACCUACAGAAGAAGCACCGGCUAACUCCGUGCCAGCAGCCGCGGUAAUACGGAGGGUGCGAGCGUUAAUCGGAAUUACUGGGCGUAAAGCGCAUGCAGGCGGCCUGUUAAGUCAGAUGUGAAAGCCCGGGGCGUUAACCUCGGAAUUGCAUUUGAAACUGGCAGGCUAGAGUCUUGUAGAGGGGGGUAGGAAUUUCAGGUGUAGCGGUGAAAUAGCGUAGAGAUCUGAAGGAAUACCAGUGGCGAAGGUGGCCCCCUGGACAAAGACUGACGCUCAGAUGCGAAAGCGUGGGGAGCAAACAGGAUUAGAUACCCCUGGUAG